rnacentral:rRNA from 1 species
GACGGGUGAGUAACGCGUGGAUAACCUGCCGUAUGCAGGGGGAUAACAGUUGGAAACAGCUGCUAAUACCGCAUAAGCGCACGGUGCCGCAUGGUACAGUGCGAAAAGAUUUAUCGGCAUACGAUGGAUCCGCGUCCGAUUAGCCAGUUGGCGGGGUAACGGCCCACCAAAGCGACGAUCGGUAGCCGGCCUGAGAGGGCGGACGGCCACAUUGGGACUGAGACACGGCCCAAACUCCUACGGGAGGCAGCAGUGGGGAAUAUUGGACAAUGGGGGGAACCCUGAUCCAGCGACGCCGCGUGAGUGAAGAAGUAUUUCGGUAUGUAAAGCUCUAUCAGCAGGGAAGAAAGAAAUGACGGUACCUGACUAAGAAGCCCCGGCUAACUACGUGCCAGCAGCCGCGGUAAUACGUAGGGGGCAAGCGUUAUCCGGAUUUACUGGGUGUAAAGGGAGCGUAGACGGCAGUGCAAGUCUGAAGUGAAAGGCGGGGGCCCAACCCCCGGACUGCUUUGGAAACUGUGCUGCUGGAGUGCAGGAGAGGCAAGUGGAAUUCCUAGUGUAGCGGUGAAAUGCGUAGAUAUUAGGAGGAACACCAGUGGCGAAGGCGGCUUGCUGGACUGUAACUGACGUUGAGGCUCGAAAGCGUGGGGAGCAAACAGGAUUAGAUACCCUGGUAGUCCACGCCGUAAACGAUGAUCACUAGGUGUCG